UAUCUAAAAACUCUGCUAAAUUCUCCGUUCGAGCACUCCAUUCUUGUUGAGGCAGAGAACUGACUUGAGCGUCGGAGGGUCUUGCCGGAGCAACCCCACCUCCGGUUUAGACUUCCUUUGCAGGUCCCGGCGGCGACCGCGACUUCCUCGACUCCAGCUUCUCCGGCGCAAGCGGAUUUUUGCACCAACACAUAAUAUACAAUUCUAUUUUGUAUGCAGCCUCACUACUACAUAAUCAAGCAUAAUUAUGGCAAUACAAAAGAACAUAAACUGCUCUCUUUGAAAUUAGCCAUAUUAGUCCUAAGUUUUCCACCACACAAAAAAAAAGAAAAAAAAGGGAAACUCAUAUAUUUCUGUGACAACACCAUAAUUCGUAUAAAGCAUUUCUUAAAGUUUGAUCUAAUUUGCAAAUCCCUAAAUAACCAAAAGUAUACAACCCUGCAAUGUGACCGUGGGGUUCAAAGUAAGAGUUAAAUAGACAAUUCGCAAGUAUCCAAAAUAUUUUGCUUCAGAUAGAAGUCAUAAGAAAAGCCAGAUUCAUGACAAGCCACAGGUAUUUACAUAUACAAUUUAAGAAAACCUAAUUUCUUCAAGUGGUCACUCUCCAAAGGGGCCCAAAAAAGAUGCUAUCUUGGCGUGCAGAUUGAGUUAAUAUUACUAUUCUAAGUGAAAGCAAAAACACUUUUAUAUUAGCAUGUCAGUUACCAUGUGACAUAAUUUAACUUCUAUAUAGGUUGAAGAAAAAUAGCGAAGGAACAAAAUGGAAUAUGCAAUUCAGUGUAGUUGCAUGAAUGAAAAUUAAUCCAACAGAAUCAUCUGUUAUUAGUUCAUAAAUCACAAAAACAAAAUAGUUC
rnacentral:lncRNA from 1 species